GUAGGACGCAAACGUUAUCCGGAAUUACUGGGCGUAAAGAGCGUGUAGGCGGUCUGUUAAGUCAACCGUGAAAGCUCCCGGCUAAACUGGGAGAGGUCGGCUGAUACUGGCAGACUAGAGGGUGUUAGAGGGAUGCGGAAUUCCGGGUGUAGUGGUGAAAUGCGUAGAGAUCCGGAGGAACACCAGAGGCGAAGGCGGCAUCCUGGGACAUACCUGACGCUGAGACGCGAAAGCAUGGGGAGCGAACGGGAUUAGAGACCCCGGUAGUCCAUGCCGUAAACGAUGUUCACUAGAUGUGCGUGCCUCUACGGGGGUAUGUGCGUCGAAGCCAACGCGCUAAGUGAACCGCCUGGGGAGUACGGUCGCAAGGCUAAA
rnacentral:rRNA from 1 species